UACGAAGGGGGCUAGCGUUGUUCGGAAUCACUGGGCGUAAAGCGCACGUAGGCGGAUUUUUAAGUCAGGGGUGAAAUCCCGAGGCUCAACCUCGGAACUGCCUUUGAUACUGGAGAUCUUGAGUCCGGAAGAGGUAAGUGGAACUGCGAGUGUAGAGGGUGAAAUUCGUAGAUAAUUCGCAAGAACACCAGUGGCGAAGGCGGGCUACUGGUCCGGAACUGACGCUGGAGGUGCGAAAGCGUGGGGAGCAAACAGG
rnacentral:rRNA from 1 species